rnacentral:misc_RNA from 1 species
GAUCUCGGAAUGAACACGCGCGGAUGCUACACCCCUGCCGCGGCC